CCUCCCUUUUUCAUCUUUUUUUAGGUAGGUUUUGAUCUUCAGCUGAUCUUCGAUCUCUUUAUGUAUAUUCGGCGUUUGUAUUCACCUUUGAUUUUCUGCUGCCUGCUUUUCUAUUUGGCUGAAUCUACGGCCGAUCGAUGAAGAUUUCAUAAAUUUUCUUCUGAUCCCCCGUUUGAAAUUAAGUUCGGCUGAUUUUUGUUUGAUUUUCUGAUUAUCGGAGAGAUCUGUUUCAGCAAUAAGCUGAUUCGGUGCAAUUCGUUCGGGGAUAUCUGCCGAUGGUAACGAUCUUAUCCAUUCAUCAUCUAAAAAACCGGUGAAACUUGAUUUGUAAAACGAGAGAAUUCCAUUCCAAGGUGCGGUUCGCCAUUUGUAUAAAUGAAACUAUAGUUAGUGUUAUGGUCGUAUGUAAAAAAAAGUGUGUGAGUGAUGUUUGAUAGAGAAAAGUAGAGUGGUGUGAGCUGAUCGGCCUUUACCAUGUUGGGUGCGCUCGCAUGGUAGGUCACCACAUAAUAAAAGCUAUUGUUUUGUGUUUAGAGGGGAGAUGGUACGGUGAUUUCAUCGGCUCUCCCCUCUUGUGUGCGGCGUCCUCCGUUUUUUUUCUUCUUCUUCUUCUUCUUCUAUACCCCUAUCCCCUUCCCCAUCAUCUAGUUCAGCACUCAUAACUCGGUAAACAGUUUCGGUAUUUGAUGGAUUUGAAUGGUAACAUUACAUGAUAUAAAUCAACGCAAAUGAACUCCCUGAGGGCUGGGGCCGACGAAUGCACGUCUAAGGUACAAAUUAGCACUCUGCCUCUUUAUGUUAUUAAUUUUCUACUUGUCUUGUAUCCAAUUUAUUCAGUACUUCGGCAAAACUCCCUAAGGCCUCAGGUACAAAUAUGCACUCUUCAACAUCUCUUACUAUCUAAUAUCUAUCAAUACUGUCCUUAACUUAUCUGAUUUACAAAACAUGACUCUGAAAGCAGUUACUCAAGAGGCAAUUAAGUUUCAAAUUUUGAGGCAAUUAAGUUUCAAAUUUUUUAUCCACCGCUUAUCAAUCUAUUUCUGCGCCCCACGCACAUGAAAUCAUGACACUUUUAUACACCAUAACAAUAAGCACAACAAGUGCAUGGUAUCACUGCUGGCUCAUGCCUGCUACCGCAGUUCAUUCUGGCAUUUGUAUCUUUAUAAUUGUUAAUCAAUUAAAUUCUAUCUAUUGUCUCUUUCAGCAUUCCAAUCAAAAUCAAUGACUCGAUGUGUCUUAUCUGUUUAUCUACAAAGUUUACAUUUUUAACAGUAUGGUUUUGGCUAUUGUGCCUUCCAUUCAAAGUCAAAGACUGAAUGGUUGUGUUUGGUUUUGUACAAGGUUGUACAUUGAACAGUAUGGUUUUGGCUAUCUUAAGCUACUUAGUUUUUUUUAUUAUAUUAAGACUGUUGUUGUGGUUUGAUCUGUUGGUUUACCUCUAUUAGUUUUUUAUUUGGAUGGAGUAUAUAGCUUCGAGUUAGUGCCCAUGUAAGGGAAUUCCUUAUGUUGUGAAGGCACGACUUUGUACUUUUGUUAUGUAUUAGCUAUUGUGAACCAUAUUUCUUUUGAGGUUUUGCUACUGUUUCUUAGAGAAGGGCGCAAAUGAAGUUAUGAGAAUUAGUUUCCUAGGCUGAUCCCAUAGUUGGAUAUGGAAUAUGCUGCUACUGCUGAGUGAGCUGCUGAUAUUGAAUGAGCCAUCUCAAGGGUGAUUGGUUGUUUGUGUUCGAGUUUAUGUGCUGCCCAUUGAAUGGAUGAUAUAUCAACUGUGACUUAUUGUAUUUUUGCAAGGUCAUGAUUGUGACAUAGUUUGAAGAUUUUUCUCCCAUCAA